GUUGAAGAGCAUCAGGUAUCCGAUAUACGCCAGCUGUAAGGAGACACAAUACAGUGCUCUGGCUGUUCAGGCCCAGGAGCCCCAGCAUCAGCCAAGGCCACUGCACAGCAGCACAGAGCAGGGUCAGCAAGCAGGACACAGACUUUAUGACAAAAGGAACUUGAAGGUGCUAAACUAACAAAAGAAUUAGAAAAGACAGUAAUACUUGAAGGAUUAUAAUAUGCAAUCUUCCUUUUGACCUGUACAUGUAUCUCUGGGGCUCUGGUGCUUCGUUUAAAUCUAUGUGUCAUGAUGCAUCAUUUCGCCUUGCAGUUACCCAUUUUUGUGUGUUUUCUUGGCUAAAAAGGGAGCCUUGGCUGUCAGUGGCGGCUCUUGCUCAGGCGUGGACCUUAGGUUCUUAAACUAGGGCAGCACAGUGGAUUUUUGCCUCACGAAUGCCAGGCAGAAUAAGUGUCUGUGAGAAGCAAAGGAAGAGGAAGACACAUGUAACACCUGUAAAUUGGUCAAACCAACAUAAAAAUAGCCCAGGCUUAAAGUGCUUCGCUUGUCAGUGCCCUGGGAGGGUCUUACCUGUUUUCAUUUCACCACUUUCCUGUCCUAAUCAAGUUAAGAUAAGAUAUUCCUUCCUGGUGUCUGCUUCAUUGAAACAACACAAGAAAAGACAACACAGUUUACAGAAAGGAAAGGGUCCGUGUGGCCUUUUGUGGACGGGUGUGGGGUUUAAUCCCCAAGAGGCUCUGGCUCGUGGGGUUGAAUCCUGAUGUGACUGGCUGAAUUGCUGGAUGUCUGGGAAGAACUCCCUAGGGUUUGGUGACUGCUCCUGGAAGAUUCAGUUGUGUCAAGGUGAGUGAAGUGCAGGGAAACUGGUGGCUCUUGCAUAAGGGGCUGAGGAGCCUUGAGAGAAGACUCACUCACCUUAAGGGAAAUGGCAGACUAGCUGGGCCUUCCUUACACAAUGCCUCAAGUCAAGUGAGGUACUCACUGGCCUUAGGGGCCUCAGGGGCUGUGAGCAGGAACCAAGAGGGAGUUUAUUAACUAAAAUCUGCUGCACUCUUCAGAGUGGUGUAGCAAAGAAUAGACACAGUGUGGGUGAAAGGAUUGAGGCCUUGAGGGGUCUGGAGGUACUGCAUGACUUUGUAGCUGGGAAGGCAGCUUAGAAGGUGGAGGAAGCUGCAGCCUUGCUGGGGGAUAUGCUGCUUUCUCUACUAAUUCUCUUAUGUUUUGGGACAGGGUCUCACUCUCGUCACCCAGGCUGGAGUGCAGUGGCAUUGUGAUCUCGGCUCAUUGUAGCAUUGACUUCCUGGGCUCAGAUGGAUACCUGAAAUAGGCUCUCAAAACAAGCAGGGUCUAGGAGCCAGUUGGACCCCUGCCUCCUUUCUUCUUGGACCAGAAGAGGACCCAAUCUGCUCCUAGAGAAACUUGCUACGAUGCAGAAGUGAGGUUAUAUGGAAAUGAAGUGUGUCCUACCUUUCAGAAACUUGGGAGAGUAGGAGAGACCAUUUUUGAAAAUCUGGUGAGAAAUACUCUUACAGAGAAAAACACAGCCCAAAGCACAUGGGACCUUCAAUCUGAAAUUGAAUUGUACUGUUAAGCAUGUCUGGUGAUUCAAAAGACUGGCAUACCUUAUUUCCAGUCACUUCCUCGAGGCCUGGGCUUUGUCAAUAUGUGAAGAUGAAUUUUGGAGAAUCAUGUAAACACAAUUGAACAGAUCUGGGGGAUCCAGUCUGAUGGGUUUGCUGAGGCCAAUCCAGUCAGCCACGCAGAAGUGUGCUGGACACACAGGCCCCACCACCCCCCGCCAAAGAGGCAGCCUCCCAACAAGCUGCCAAUGACAUAAGCAAAGCAGCGUGUCUCAAGUGUCUCCAAUCAUAAGAUUCGCCUGGGAAGCUGGUUAAACUAACACAGCCUCUUAGGCUCCUUCCUGAAGACUGGAUUCCAUGGGUCUAUGAUGGGGCUAGAAAUUUGCAUUUCUAACAAAACUCCCUUGUCAUCAUGGACGUUUUAGAGAUAUUGAUACUAUUAUUUCUACUGAUUUCUGCUCUCGGGAGUCUGUAAACUUUUUCUGCAAAUGGCCAACUGGUUAACUUUUAAGGCUUUGUAGAACCGAUAGUCUCUCUCUGUCUCUCACUACUCAUCAACUUGAUGUGGUAGCACAAAAGCAGUCAGUCAGCCUAUUGCUAAUGGUAAAUGAGAUUUAGCCUAAAGCUGCCUCCUUAAGUUCGGCCUGAAGUUUUCUCUGUACAUUGUGAACUAUAACAAAUGAAGGUGUAACAAGACCAAUCACCGAGUUUCGGUCAAUCAAAUGUAGCCAACUGCUCAAACUGUGUUCAAAUAAGGCAAACGCUGAGCUGUAACCAAUCCAGCUGUUUCUGUACCUCACUUCCGUUUUCUGUAUGCCACUUCCCUUUUUCUGUCCAUAAAUCUUCCACCACGUGGCCCUGCCAGAGUCUCUGAGCCUACUCUGGCUUGGAAGACUGCCCAAUUCACGAAUCGUUCAUUUGCUCAAUUAAACUCCUUUAAAUUUA
rnacentral:lncRNA from 1 species